UCUCUCUCUCUCUCUCUACAACUUGGAGUAGAUCUAGUUUGGAUUUCCUUUAGCCUUUCCCCCUUCACUCGUUUUUAGGGUUUUGAAUAUUGCUUGGAGCAAAUCUAGUUGAGGUCGAAGCAUUUGGUGGAGGGUUUCUUGUAGAAAUUGCAUUUUGUGAGAAGUCCUGUUUUUUGAUUUUUUAGGCGUUUGGAGUUAUAGAUCUGAUUGGCAUUAAAGUGCAAAUUCUAGACGUGCUGAAGAAAGCGGAAGAGGAGUCCAAUUUCCAGACGUGCAGGGGCCUAAUUUUAUCAUGUGAGGUGGGUUUUUUCAAAGGGGUUUUGAAGAUUCUCGAGAAGGACAAGCAAAAUUCUAUGGGGUGGGACUGGAAGAGAUUUUUAAGAUAUUUUUUGAAGCUAAAAGAAAAGAAUGGCCAAUUGAGAAGCUGAGGAAGUUUGAGGUCCCCAAAGCUCCAAAAUAUAUUUUCCUAUCAUUUGUCUACUGGGACAUGCACCAAUACACUGCCAACACUCUUAUGUAACCUGUCUUGCUGCAGCAGAAAAAAAAAUGUAAUUUCUAUCUCAAAAUCCUCAAGCAAAUUUCAUUUAUUUUUUGUGUUAGUUUCAUUUGAUAGCAUACGAAAGACACGUCUCUUCAAUUUAUACAUUUUCUUGUGGAAGGUCUUUUCUUGUUUGACAGGGAACUUUAUUAAUACAAAGAUCUCUAAAAACAUGUUUUCCCAAUCUGAGCUACAAUCAAAUUGUAGGACACUUUUUUGCCCUUAUGUUUGUCAUCCCCUGCUCAAUUAAAAAAAUAAUGCUGCCUAGAUGCCUGGCGGUGUUGAUAGCAAUCAGGUUGUAGACCUUUAUCCUAUAUAUGCAUUGACAGAUGCAGGUGAAAAGUUUG